rnacentral:rRNA from 1 species
UACGAAGGGUGCAAACGUUGCUCGGAAUUAUUGGGCGUAAAGCGCACGUAGGCGGCUUUGCAAGUCCCAUGUGAAAUCCCACGGCUUAACCGUGGAAGUGCAUGGGAAACUGCAGAGCUUGAGUACUUAAGAGGAUCGCCGGAAUUCCCGGUGUAGAGGUGAAAUUCGUAGAGAUGUGGAGGAACACCAAUGGCGAAGGCAGCCUCCUGGGCCAACACUGACACUCAUGCACGAAAGCGUGGGGAGCAAACAGG